rnacentral:rRNA from 1 species
GAGUUUGAUCGUGGCUCAGAUUGAACGCUGGCGGCAUGCCUUACACAUGCAAGUCGAACGGCAGCAUGAUCUAGCUUGCUAGAUUGAUGGCGAGUGGCGAACGGGUGAGUAAUACAUCGGAACGUGCCCUGUAGUGGGGGAUAACUAGUCGAAAGAUUAGCUAAUACCGCAUACGACCUGAGGGUGAAAGUGGGGGACCGCAAGGCCUCAUGCUAUAGGAGCGGCCGAUGUCUGAUUAGCUAGUUGGUGGGGUAAAGGCCCACCAAGGCGACGAUCAGUAGCUGGUCUGAGAGGACGAUCAGCCACACUGGGACUGAGACACGGCCCAGACUCCUACGGGAGGCAGCAGUGGGGAAUUUUGGACAAUGGGCGAAAGCCUGAUCCAGCAAUGUCGCGUGUGUGAAGAAGGCCUCGGUUGUAA